rnacentral:miRNA from 1 species
CCAAAUCUUGAUCAGAAGCCU